rnacentral:rRNA from 1 species
GAGUUUGAUCCUGGCUCAGGACGAACGCUGGCGGCGCGCCUAACACAUGCAAGUCGAACGAGCGAGAGAGAGCUUGCUUUCUCAAGCGAGUGGCGAACGGGUGAGUAACGCGUGAGGAACCUGCCUCAAAGAGGGGGACAACAGUUGGAAACGACUGCUAAUACCGCAUAAGCCCACAGCUCGGCAUCGAGCAGAGGGAAAAGGAGCAAUCCGCUUUGAGAUGGCCUCGCGUCCGAUUAGCUAGUUGGUGAGGUAAUGGCCCACCAAGGCGACGAUCGGUAGCCGGACUGAGAGGUUGAACGGCCACAUUGGGACUGAGACACGGCCCAGACUCCUACGGGAGGCAGCAGUGGGGAAUAUUGCACAAUGGGGGAAACCCUGAUGCAGCGACGCCGCGUGGAGGAAGAAGGUCUUCGGAUUGUAAACUCCUGUUGUUGAGGAAGAUAAUGACGGUACUCAACAAGGAAGUGACGGCUAACUACGUGCCAGCAGCCGCGGUAAAACGUAGGUCACAAGCGUUGUCCGGAAUUACUGGGUGUAAAGGGAGCGCAGGCGGGAAGACAAGUUGGAAGUGAAAUCUAUGGGCUCAACCCAUAAACUGCUUUCAAAACUGUUUUUCUUGAGUAGUGCAGAGGUAGGCGGAAUUCCCGGUGUAGCGGUGGAAUGCGUAGAUAUCGGGAGGAACACCAGUGGCGAAGGCGGCCUACUGGGCACCAACUGACGCUGAGGCUCGAAAGUGUGGGUAGCAAACAGGAUUAGAUACCCUGGUAGUCCACACCGUAAACGAUGAUUACUAGGUGUUGGAGGAUUGACCCCUUCAGUGCCGCGGUUAACACAAUAAGUAAUCCACCUGGGGAGUACGACCGCAAGGUUGAAACUCAAAGGAAUUGACGGGGGCCCGCACAAGCAGUGGAGUAUGUGGUUUAAUUCGACGCAACGCGAAGAACCUUACCAAGUCUUGACAUCCUGCGACGCACAUAGAAAUAUGUGUUUCCUUCGGGACGCAGAGACAGGUGGUGCAUGGUUGUCGUCAGCUCGUGUCGUGAGAUGUUGGGUUAAGUCCCGCAACGAGCGCAACCCUUACUGUCAGUUACUACGCAAGAGGACUCUGGCAGGACUGCCGUUGACAAAACGGAGGAAGGUGGGGAUGACGUCAAAUCAUCAUGCCCUUUAUGACUUGGGCUACACACGUACCACAAUGGCGUUAAACAAAGAGAAGCAAGACCGCGAGGUGGAGCAAAACUCAGAAGCAACGUCCCAGUUCGGACUGCAGGCUGCAACUCGCCUGCACGAAGUCGGAAUUGCUAGUAAUCGUGGAUCAGCAUGCCACGGUGAAUACGUUCCCGGGCCUUGUACACACCGCCCGUC